GCAGUAAAGAGCCUGGGUGAGAAGAUGGGAGAAUUCAUUGUACCCACUUGUGCCAGGGAGGCUUGGCCCACAGAAGAGUCAACAGGGAUGGGAGGGGCUUGAAUCAACUGAUACCACAACCCCCGAGAAGAGACCUUCUGAAGGGAGAGAAAAGGCAUCAGAGCACCUGGCAGCUUCGCCAAAGAAAAUGUGUAAGAAUUCACCCACUGGUGCCACAGUUCACCGACUUGAUAACCAAGAGGAGACAGAGAUAAGAAAAAGAUGAACAAGAGAAGGCCCAUGGCCUUCUGGAAUAUGUAGCACUCCCAAGUACAGCCCACUUGUCUUUGCGAGACCCGGCUUCUAGAUCCCGGUUGGAGAGCUCCUUGGGGUCGAAACUGAAUGAGCUCCAACGCUUCAGGAUUUCAAACAUUAGGACUUUGUCCUUGGGGACCGGGAAGAUCAAGACGGUGAAGUCUGGGAUCCGCCUGGAUUAAGAGGUACCCGGAAGAGGGGCGGGGGCGCUGCCUGCCGGGUGGAGAGUGCAAGGCAGCCCUUCCCCCGGCCUGCCCCCGGGAGUUUGCAGAUGAGAAACCGGGGCACGCACGCGUGCACAGGCUCGCAGACCCGUCCACCUCCCGCGCCCUCAGCCAGGCGUCCAUCAAGGAAAGAGGCGUCGCGAUGCGGAGGAGAGCCUGAAAUACGUUUUAAUCUACUGCCAGGACGGGCAGGAGCCAGGAAGUGCUGAGUGAGGAUGGGAAGCCCUGGGAGCUGCGAGAGGCCGGUUACCGAUGCCCGGCUGUGCGGCCAGCCCUGAACCGAAGGAACACCUGACCCAGAGCCCUGAAUAAGCCCCGGGAAGGACCGCAGGAAGGAGGGGGUGGGGGCGGCACGGAGUCGGGGGAGAGGAGGCAAGGAUUGUGCUUUUUUUGCGGGGAGGGGUUCGCCAUGGCAUGAGGGAGCUCCUGGGCCAGGGAUCAAACCUGAGCCACAGCAGUGACAGCGCUGGGUCCUUAACCCGCUGAGACACAAGGGAAUUCCGAUGAUUGUGAAUCUUGACAGGACCCAAAGCCUAGAAUAAUGUAGAUGCUAACACACAAGCAUGAUGGAGCCCUAGCUGCAGCCACAGCCGUGGCUUUUUAUGACAGUCAGGUAAGACUGUACCAAAGGUACAGGUGUAGUAAAUGUUUUCAUGAAA